UCGCGAAUAUUCCGCAAUGGGCGAAAGCCUGACGGAGCGACGCCGCGUGUGGGAUGAAGGCCUUCGGGUUGUAAACCACUGUCACGCGUUAUGAACACCGGGGAGACAAUAUCAAUCCGGAUGACAAAGGCGCGAGAGGAAGCCACGGCUAACUCUGUGCCAGCAGCCGCGGUAAGACAGAGGUGGCAAGCGUUGCUCGGAAUUACUGGGCGUAAAGGGCUCGUAGGCGGCCAACUAAGUCAGACGUGAAAUCCCUCGGCUUAACCGGGGAACUGCGUCUGAUACUGGAUGGCUUGAGGUUGGGAGAGGGAUGCGGAAUUCCAGGUGUAGCGGUGAAAUGCGUAGAUAUCUGGAGGAACACCGGUGGCGAAGGCGGCAUCCUGGACCGGUAUUGACGCUGAGUGAGCGAAAGCCAGGGGAGCAAACGGGAUUAGAUACCCACGUAGUCCCUGAGCGGGCUGGCAAGGCGCAU
rnacentral:rRNA from 1 species